AAUAAUAAUUUCAACACAGAAGCUUGCACUGCUAAAGUGUGGUUUGUGCAAACUAUUUUCUAAACAAACUACGGAGCCCGGGUGUGCAGACUGCAGGCGAAGGAAGCAGAGCCGCUCCUGGAGGUGGAUGGACCUGAGCUGCUGCGUAAGCCCUCUCGGACGAGCUAUCUGUUGUUUAACCUUCCAGACAGCCAUGGCCUUUCAGCUUAUUACCCAUUAGAAAAUAGCUUCCGUUGGUCCUGGAAAUGGGAGCAGCGCUUUUUAUUUGUUCCUUUCAGGUGAUCAGAGAAAUGUUUGUGCAAAUUCAGUAAUUCAACUGAAGAGAUAAUUUUACAGCUAUGUUCAAUAAAGCCUCUUUCCAGAUGGAAGCACGGCCCGUGGAGCUGGCCAAGGAUGCUGUCGGUGCUGCUUUGGAGGUGCUUUGUGAUGUCUGAUGCCAGGGCUGCAGCAAAAAAAGCUGCUCGGAGGACAGCGGGAGCCCAGAGCUCGGAUGGACCGUGUGGGGUUUGGCACCGUGAGUGUUUGUAAAUAAAAGGAGAUUUCCCACU
rnacentral:lncRNA from 7 species